rnacentral:snoRNA from 1 species
AGGUAAUUUCAAAUAGCUAUGAAGCUAAGAGUCUUAGCUUUCUGAAGCUGUGAAGCUAAUAGCUCUUAACACUGUGAUCAAAGGCUGAAGUUCUCUACAGGACACAUACUCAAUAGUGCUGUUUUCCAGAGAAAAUGCA